AUGUGAGGACACAGCAAGAAAAUGGCCACCUAUGAACCAGGAUGUGGGCUCUCACUAGAUGCCGAAUCUGCUGGCAUCCUGAUCUUGAACUUUCUGGGCCCCAGAACUGUGAGAAAUAGCCACUCAGUUAUGGUAUUCUGUUGUUACAGCAGCUCAAAUGCCUUCAACUGAUCGGAUGAGGCUCACCCACAUUAGGGAGAGCAAUCUGCUUUGCUUGGUCUACCACUUCAAAUGUUUAUCUCAUCCUAAACAUCCGUACAGACACACCCAGAAUAAUGAUUGACCAAAUAUCUGGGCACUUUCUGGCCCAGUCAAGUUGACGCACAAAAUCAGCUGUCACACAACUCUUGGAGUCAAAGAGGAAACCAAAACUUCAGAUGUUCUUGAAAAUAAAGUUUUAUGAGAACACAACAUAUCAGAAUUGAUGAAACA